rnacentral:ncRNA from 1 species
CGACCUCAGAUCAGACGAGAUGACCCGCUGAAUUUAAGCAUAUAAAUAAGCGGAGGAAAAGAAACCAACAGGGAUUCCCUGAGUAACGGCGAGCGAAAAGGGAAGAGCCCAGCGCCGAAUCCCGGAUCCUCGCGGGUCCUGGGAAAUGUGGCGUUUAGGAGUGAGCGUGCCGGAGUUCGACUCUGCAGCAAGUCCCCCUGACCGGGGCUACUUUUCCAUAGCGGGUGCGAGACCCAUAGCUGCUAGGUCGGUUCCGGAUGCGAUCUCCUUGGAGUCGGGUUGCUUGGGAGUGCAGCCCUAAUCGGGUGGUAAACUCCACCUAAGGCUAAAUACGGCCGUGAGACCGAUAGCAAACAAGUACCGUGAGGGAAAGUUGCAAAGAACUUUGAAGAGAGAGUUCAAGAGUACGUGAAACCGCUCAGAGGUAAACGGGUGGGCCCUCGAAAUCCUGUGGCGGGAGGAUUCAGUCCGAAAGCUGGUGCCGGUGCUCCCAUGACUAGUGGUUCCGUGACGGACCCGUGGGGACUCCGCGUGCCGGCCGUAGAACGCAUUUGCUUCCCGUCCGAAGGACGCCGCAACCGGUUGGGAAACGGCCUGAAGGUCGGGCAAUAGGAAGGUAGCCGGCGGCGCUCCUCGUGGGCGUCGUCGGUGUUACAGCC